UACGGAGGGUGCAAGCGUUGUUCGGAAUCACUGGGCGUAAAGCGCGUGUAGGCGGCCUCCUCAGUCUGGUGUGAAAGCCCGGGGCUUACCCCCGGAAGUGCAUUGGAUACUGGGAGGCUGGAGUACCGGAGAGGAGGGUGGAAUUCCUGGUGUAGCGGUGAAAUGCGUAGAUAUCAGGAGGAACACCGGUGGCGAAGGCGGCCCUCUGGACGGAUACUGACGCUGAGACGCGACAGCGUGGGGAGCAAACAGG
rnacentral:rRNA from 1 species